rnacentral:lncRNA from 1 species
CUGGAAUAAGACGUUAGGUCAGCCGUAUUCUCAAGUAAUACCUUUGCAUACGCUUUAGUAUUGGUUCUAAUAGAAGGUAUUAAGUGCCAUGACCAAUUAAUAUGCACAUAUACUCUAACUAUUCCCUGGGGAAGUGGUUAGCGCUACCUUGGAAAAUAGUUAAUAGAAGGUGUUUUUUUAGAGACGGAAGUGAAGAAGAUCUAAACACUGGAUACCGUCCGGGGAAGCGUCAGAAUAAUAACUAUUGAAAUGGCGACCGGCGGACCCAAUGCUCCCGGUAAAGUGGGGGUAGAGGAAGAGAAGUUUAAUAGAGCCAUAAAGGCGCUGAAAAAGUCGCACGGACAUUAUACCAAUUCGCCUCGAAUAUGGGAGAAAAAAAUUUGCAAACUGGAUCAAAUUGGUCAGCAUUUCCCGGCUAACGAAAAAUUCCAAUCUAAUAGAGAAUUCAGGGAGGCAAUUGUGACUUGGCACAAUGACAAAACCAGAAUCAAAAGCUCAAUGUACCAUUGUUUUGAUGUCUGCAUUCUAUCAACAAAAAAUACAAACCGAUAAACCCAGAAUUAGUGGAUGUACUCAGCUACAGAAGGACUGGAUUGGAUCUGCUGGAUUGUUGGGAUUCCCCCCAUGAGUUAGAGUGCUAACUCCCUGAUCUGGUAACUCUUCUGAGAAGUCGCCAGUAAAAUAAGACAAUGACCCAACACACCUCCAGGCUGUGUAAGGGCUAUUUGACCAAGAAGGAGAGUGAUGGAGUGCUGCAUCAGAUGACCUAGCCUCCACAAUUACCUGACCUCAAUCCAAUUGAUAUGGUUUGGGAUGAGGUGGACUGCAGAGAGAAGGAAAAGCAGCCAACAAGUGUUCAGCAUAUGUGGGAACUCCUUCAAGACUGUUGGAAAAGCAUUCCAGGACCUGAGCCCUAGGACCAUGCCUCAGGACUACCUGGUAUGAUGACUCCUUGCUGUCCCCAGUCCACCUGGCCGUGCUGCUGCUCCAGUUUCAACUGUUCUGCCUGCGGCUAUGGAACCCAGACCUGUUCACCAGACGUGCUUGUUGCACCCUCGACAACUACUAUGAUUAUUAUUAUUUGACCAUGCUGGUCAUUUAUGAACAUUUUAACAUUUUAACAUUUUGACCAUGUUCUGUUAAUAUCCACCCUGCACAGCCAGAAGAGGACUGGCCACCCCUCAUAGCCUGGUUCCUCUCUAGGUUUCUUCCUAGGUUUUUGGCCUUUCUAGGGAGUUUUUCCUAGGGAGUUUUUCCUAGCCACCGUGCUUCUUUCACAUGCUUUGCUUGCUGUUUGGGGUUUUAGGCUGGGUUUCUGUACAGCACUUUGAGAAUAUCAGCUGAUGUACGAAGGGCUAUAUAAAAAUAAAUUUGAUUUGAUUUGAUUCACUAUUAUUCUACAAUGUAGAAAAUAGUAAAAAUAAAGAAAAACCCUUAAAUGAGUAGGUGUGUCCAAACUUUUGACUGGAACUGUAUAAAUAUGUGUAUGUAUAGCUCAAUCGUCUUGUUUUAGGGGUCUCAUGUUCUUGGUUUAAAAAAAUGAAACAAGUGGGGUUUGUGAUGUUGAGCUCAGUGUUGUGUGCGGGGGCAGUUCAGUGGAAUUAGUGACUUGACCAGAGACCAACCACAUUUUUGCUCAGUUGGGU